rnacentral:rRNA from 1 species
GACGAACGCUGGCGGCGUGCUUAACACAUGCAAGUCGAACGGAAAGGCCCUGCUUUUGUGGGGUGCUCGAGUGGCGAACGGGUGAGUAACACGUGAGUAACCUGCCCUUGACUUUGGGAUAACUUCAGGAAACUGGGGCUAAUACCGGAUAGGAGCUCCUGCUGCAUGGUGGGGGUUGGAAAGUUUCGGCGGUUGGGGAUGGACUCGCGGCUUAUCAGCUUGUUGGUGGGGUAGUGGCUUACCAAGGCUUUGACGGGUAGCCGGCCUGAGAGGGUGACCGGCCACAUUGGGACUGAGAUACGGCCCAGACUCCUACGGGAGGCAGCAGUGGGGAAUAUUGCACAAUGGGCGGAAGCCUGAUGCAGCAACGCCGCGUGCGGGAUGACGGCCUUCGGGUUGUAAACCGCUUUCGCCUGUGACGAAGCGUGAGUGACGGUAAUGGGUAAAGAAGCACCGGCUAACUACGUGCCAGCAGCCGCGGUGAUACGUAGGGUGCGAGCGUUGUCCGGAUUUAUUGGGCGUAAAGGGCUCGUAGGUGGUUGAUCGCGUCGGAAGUGUAAUCUUGGGGCUUAACCCUGAGCGUGCUUUCGAUACGGGUUGACUUGAGGAAGGUAGGGGAGAAUGGAAUUCCUGGUGGAGCGGUGGAAUGCGCAGAUAUCAGGAGGAACACCAGUGGCGAAGGCGGUUCUCUGGGCCUUUCCUGACGCUGAGGAGCGAAAGCGUGGGGAGCGAACAGGCUUAGAUACCCUGGUAGUCCACGCUGUAAACGGUGGGCACUAGGUGUGGGGUCCAUUCCACGGGUUCCGUGCCGUAGCUAACGCUUUAAGUACCCCGCCUGGGGAGUACGGCCGCAAGGCUAAAACUCAAAGGAAUUGACGGGGCCCCGCACAAGCGGCGGAGCAUGCGGAUUAAUUCGAUGCAACGCGUAGAACCUUACCUGGGUUUGACAUGGAUCGGGAGUGCUCAGAGAUGGGUGUGCCUCUUUUGGGGUCGGUUCACAGGUGGUGCAUGGCUGUCGUCAGCUCGUGUCGUGAGAAGUUGGGUUAAGUCCCGCAACGAGCGCAACCCUUGUUCACUGUUGCCAGCACGUUAUGGUGGGGACUCAGUGGAGACCGCCGGGGUCAACUCGGAGGAAGGUGGGGAUGACGUCAAGUCAUCAUGCCCCUUAUGUCCAGGGCUUCACGCAUGCUACAAUGGCUGGUACAGAGAGUGGCGAGCCUGUGAGGGUGAGCGAAUCCCGGAAAGCCGGUCUCAGUUCGGAUUGGGGUCUGCAACUCGACCUCAUGAAGUCGGAGUCGCUAGUAAUCGCAGAUCAGCAACGCUGCGGUGAAUACGUUCCCGGG